rnacentral:rRNA from 1 species
UACGGAGGGGGCUAGCGUUGUUCGGAAUUACUGGGCGUAAAGCGCACGUAGGCGGCUUUGUAAGUUAGAGGUGAAAGCCCGGAGCUCAACUCCGGAAUUGCCUUUAAGACUGCAUCGCUAGAAUCGUGGAGAGGUGAGUGGAAUUCCGAGUGUAGAGGUGAAAUUCGUAGAUAUUCGGAAGAACACCAGUGGCGAAGGCGACUCACUGGACACAUAUUGACGCUGAGGUGCGAAAGCGUGGGGAGCAAACAGG